rnacentral:rRNA from 1 species
GAUGAACGCUGGCGGCGUGCCUAAUACAUGCAAGUCGAGCGAACGGACGAGAAGCUUGCUUCUCUGAUGUUAGCGGCGGACGGGUGAGUAACACGUGGAUAACCUACCUAUAAGACUGGGAUAACUUCGGGAAACCGGAGCUAAUACCGGGUAAUAUUUUGAACCGCAUGGUUCAAAAGUGAAAGACGGUCUUGCUGUCACUUAUAGAUGGAUCCGCGCUGCAUUAACUAGUUGGUAAGGUAACGGCUUACCAAGGCAACGAUGCAUAGCCGACCUGAGAGGGUGAUCGGCCACACUGGAACUGAGACACGGUCCAGACUCCUACGGGAGGCAGCAGUAGGGAAUCUUCCGCAAUGGGCGAAAGCCUGACGGAGCAACGCCGCGUGAGUGAUGAAGGUCUUCGGAUCGUAAAACUCUGUUAUUAGGGAAGAACAUAUGUGUAAGUAACUGUGCACAUCUUGACGGUACCUAAUCAGAAAGCCACGGCUAACUACGUG